rnacentral:snoRNA from 1 species
UCAUGCGUGAUGACUGAGAUCGAGGGGCCGGGCUGACUGCUUGCCUGGCUAACGGUGGUAUCUCAUUGAUUCCGGCGUGUAAUUAAUUUAUGACGUGGAUCGACAUGACUUGACCCGAUAGGGUUGGAUAGGAAGCGGUUCCUCUGACGUGG